rnacentral:rRNA from 1 species
UUGGAGGGCAAGUCUGGUGCCAGCAGCCGCGGUAAUUCCAGCUCCAAUAGCGUAUAUUAAAGUUGUUGCAGUUAAAAAGCUCGUAGUUGAAUUUCGGGAUCAAUAUAUCGGUCGUGCCUUCGGUAUGUACUGGUAUUAUUGGUUUCUCCUUUCUGACAAACUAUGAUGUCAUUAAUUUGGUGUCAUGGGGAAUCAGGACUGUUACUUUGAAAAAAUUAGAGUGUUUAAAGCAGGCACACGCUUGAAUACAUUAGCAUGGAAUAAUGAAAUAGGACGUUUGACCCUAUUUUGUUGGUUUCUAGGAUCGACGUAAUGAUUAAUAGGGAUAGUUGGGGGCAUUAGUAUUCAAUUGUCAGAGGUGAAAUUCUUGGAUUUAUUGAAGACUAACUACUGCGAAAGCAUUUGCCAAGGAUGUUUUCAUUAAUCAAGAACGAAAGUUAGGGGAUCGAAGACGAUCAGAUACCGUCGUAGUCUUAACCAUAAACUAUGCCGACUAGGGAUCGGAUGAUGUUAUUUUUAAUGACUCAUUCGGCGCCUUACGAGAAAC